AUGGGGAUGACUUGUGGAUCGGAGUGAAAGGCUAAUCAAGCUCGGAGAUAGCUGGUUCUCCUCGAAAGCUAUUUAGGUAGCGCCUCAUGUAUCACUCUGGGGGGUAGAGCACUGUUUCGGCUAGGGGGUCAUCCCGACUUACCAAACCGAUGCAAACUCCGAAUACCCAGAAGUGCCGAGCAUGGGAGACACACGGCGGGUGCUAACGUCCGUCGUGAAAAGGGAAACAACCCAGACCGCCAGCUAAGGUCCCAAAGUUGUGGUUAAGUGGUAAACGAUGUGGGAAGGCUUAGACAGCUAGGAGGUUGGCUUAGAAGCAGCCAUCCUUUAAAGAAAGCGUAAUAGCUCACUAGUCGAGUCGGCCUGCGCGGAAGAUGUAACGGGGCUCAAACCACACACCGAAGCUGCGGGUGUCACUCAAGUGACGCGGUAGAGGAGCGUUCUGUAAGCCUGUGAAGGUGAGUUGAGAAGCUUGCUGGAGGUAUCAGAAGUGCGAAUGCUGACAUGAGUAACGACAAUGGGUGUGAAAAACACCCACGCCGAAAGACCAAGGGUUCCUGCGCAACGUUAAUCGACGCAGGGUUAGUCGGUUCCUAAGGCGAGGCUGAAAAGCGUAGUCGAUGGGAAACAGGUUAAUAUUCCUGUACUUCUGGUUACUGCGAUGGAGGGACGGAGAAGGCUAGGCCAGCUUGGCGUUGGUUGUCCAAGUUUAAGGUGGUAGGCUGAAAUCUUAGGUAAAUCCGGGGUUUCAAGGCCGAGAGCUGAUGACGAGUCGUCUUUUAGAUGACGAAGUGGUUGAUGCCAUGCUUCCAAGAAAAGCUUCUAAGCUUCAGGUAAUCAGGAACCGUACCCCAAACCGACACAGGUGGUCGGGUAGAGAAUACCAAGGCGCUUGAGAGAACUCGGGUGAAGGAACUAGGCAAAAUGGCACCGUAACUUCGGGAGAAGGUGCGCCGGCUAGGGUGAAGGAUUUACUCCGUAAGCUCUGGCUGGUCGAAGAUACCAGGCCGCAGCGACUGUUUAUUAAAAACACAGCACUCUGCAAACACGAAAGUGGACGUAUAGGGUGUGACGCCUGCCCGGUGCCGGAAGGUUAAUUGAUGGGGUUAGCGCAAGCGAAGCUCUUGAUCGAAGCCCCGGUAAACGGCGGCCGUAACAAUAACGGUCCUAAGGUAGCGAAAUUCCUUGUCGGGUAAGUUCCGACCUGCACGAAUGG
rnacentral:rRNA from 1 species